GUCAAAUGAUUAGAUAUAUCUGGCCGAGCUGCUUUUGGAGCUUCCAAGAGAGCAACUCCUGAAUUGGAUUUUUCAAUGCUUGGCAGAAGUAUAUGCUUCAUUACCGUCUCUGAUAAAAUACUAGAUAUACAGACACAAUAUGUCAACUGUUCUCGCUCCAGCCUUUGACUGCCAAACUCUAUAAUGCAAAUUAAGAUGGCUUAUAUGCAUCAGCGGCUUCACCAAAAUUAAGGCCAGUUGGCUCUACGUGGUUGUGGUGUGUGCCUGGGGUGAUCCCACACAAGGAAGGCUAGAUGACUUUCCAGGAACUAACAUGAAGUUGGUCUAAAUGCGUGCAGACAGUUUAAGGGCAUGGAGGUGGCAACAUUGGGAGGUAGGCUCAAUGGAGUGCCUGGUUAUGAACAUUACUGCAGUAUAUAUACUUUCAACAAACAGAUUCACGACCCAGUAGAUCUACGCAGUGCUGUUGCUGAAUUAUGGGUGAAGGGGGGCAUAGUGUAAAGGUACUUUCUGAUAUCUGUACAUGUAUUAUUGGAUUCUCUGAUGUGUAGUUACGAUGGCCAUGGGUGGCUUGUUUUAGUUUUUGGUGACUAGGUUAGCUCCAUCAUUUUUUUUCCUUGAAAUCAAGUGUUAGAGUAAGCUGUUUGUUCUUAAGAAUUGGGCGGUUGAAGAACGGUGAAUUGUGGAAAGUUGUAGAAACUGACGUUACAUGAUGUCAAUCAGAAUCGCAUUUUCUGGCA